CAGCCGUAAACUAUGCUCGCUAGGUGUCAGGCAUGGCGCGACCGUGUCUGGUGCCGCAGGGAAGCCGUGAAGCGAGCCACCUGGGAAGUACGGCCGCAAGGCUGAAACUUAAAGGAAUUGGCGGGGGGAGCACCACAACGGGUGGAGCCUGCGGUUUAAUUGGACUCAACGCCGGGAAGCUCACCGGAUAGGACAGCAGAAUGAUUGCCGGGCUGAAGACCCUGCAUGACUAGCUGAGAGGUGGUGCAUGGCGUAGACGUCU
rnacentral:rRNA from 1 species